ACACUCCUGCGGGAGGCAGCAGUGGGGAAUUUUGGACAAUGGGCGAAAGCCUGAUCCAGCAAUGCCGCGUGAGUGAAGAAGGCCUUCGGGUUGUAAAGCUCUUUUGUCAGGGAAGAAACGGUGAAAGCUAGUAUCUUUUGCUAAUGACGGUACCUGAAGAAUAAGCACCGGCUAACUACGUGCCAGCAGCCGCGGUAAUACGUAGGGUGCAAGCGUUAAUCGGAAUUACUGGGCGUAAAGCGUGCGCAGGCGGUUUUGUAAGUCUGAUGUGAAAUCCCCGGGCUCAACCUGGGAAUUGCAUUGGAGACUGCAAGGCUAGAAUCUGGCAGAGGGGGGUAGAAUUCCACGUGUAGCAGUGAAAUGCGUAGAUAUGUGGAGGAACACCGAUGGCGAAGGCAGCCCCCUGGGUCAAGAUUGACGCUCAUGCACGAAAGCGUGGGGAGCAAACAGGAUUAGAAACCCUUGUAGUCCCAUGAU
rnacentral:rRNA from 1 species